AUUGAACGCUGGCGGCAUGCCUUACACAUGCAAGUCGAACGGCAGCACGGGGGCAACCCUGGUGGCGAGUGGCGAACGGGUGAGUAACACAUCGGAACGUACCCGGUGGUGGGGAUAGCCCGGCGAAAGCCGGAUUAAUACCGCAUACGACCUACGGGUGAAAGCGGGGAGUCGUAAGACCUCGCGCUAUCGGAGCGGCCGAUGUCAGAUUAGGUUGUUGGUGGGUAAAGGCCUACCAAGCCGANGAUCUGUAGCUGGUCUGAGAGGACGACCAGCCACACUGGGACUGAGACACGGCCCAGACUCCUACGGGAGGCGAGCAGUGGGGAAUUUUGGACAAUGGGCGCAAGCCUGAUCCAGCCAUGCCGCGU
rnacentral:rRNA from 1 species